AUUGAACGCUGGCGGCAUGCUUUACACAUGCAAGUCGAACGGUAACAGGGAGCUUGCUCCGCUGACGAGUGGCGAACGGGUGAGUAAUGCAUCGGAACGUACCCAGUCGUGGGGGAUAACGUAGCGAAAGUUACGCUAAUACCGCAUACGUCCUGAGGGAGAAAGCGGGGGGACCGAAAAGGCCUCGCGCGAUUGGAGCGGCCGAUGUCGGAUUAGCUAGUUGGUAGGGUAAAGGCCUACCAAGGCGACGAUCCGUAGCGGGUCUGAGAGGAUGAUCCGCCACACUGGGACUGAGACACGGCCCAGACUCCUACGGGAGGCAGCAGUGGGGAAUUUUGGACAAUGGGGGAAACCCUGAUCCAGCAAUGCCGCGUGAGUGAAGAAGGCCUUCGGGUUGUAAAGCUCUUUUGUCAGGGAAGAAACACCGGCUCUAACACAGUCCGGGAAUGACGGUACCUGAAGAAUAAGCACCGGCUAACUACGUG
rnacentral:rRNA from 1 species